GCUGGCGGCCAUAGCGGAGGGGAAACACCCGUUCCCAUCCCGAACACGGAAGUAAAGUCCUCCAGCGAUCCAGGGAGUACUGACCCAGUCGGGAAACCUGGGACGCUGCCAGCA
rnacentral:rRNA from 1 species